rnacentral:rRNA from 1 species
AUUGAACGCUGGCGGCAGGCCUAACACAUGCAAGUCGAGCGAGCGGCGGAAGGGGGAGUAAUGUCUGGGAAACUGCCUGAUGGAGGGGGAUAACUACUGGAAACGGUAUCUAAUAUCGCAUACGAUCAGAUGUGCCCAGAUGGGAUUAGCUAGUAGGUGGGGUAACGGCUCACCUAGGCGACGAUCCCUAGCGGGUCUGAGAGGGUGACCAGCCACACGGGAACUGAGACACGGUCCAGACUCCUACGGGAGGCAGCAGUGGGGAAUAUUGCACAAUGGGCGCAAGCCUGAUGCAGCCAUGCCGCGUGUGUGAAGAAGGCCUUCGGGUUGUAAAGCACGUUCAGCGGGGAGGCGUUACCCGCAGAAGAAGCACCGGCUAACUCCGUGCCAGCAGCCGCGGUAAUUC